rnacentral:rRNA from 1 species
AAAUUGAAGAGUUUGAUCAUGGCUCAGAUUGAACGCUGGCGGCAGGCCUAACACAUGCAAGUCGAACGGUAACAGGAAGCAGCUUGCUGCUUUGCUGACGAGUGGCGGACGGGUGAGUAAUGUCUGGGAAACUGCCUGAUGGAGGGGGAUAACUACUGGAAACGGUGGCUAAUACCGCAUAACGUCGCAAGACCAAAGAGGGGGACCUUCGGGCCUCUUGCCAUCAGAUGUGCCCAGAUGGGAUUAGCUGGUUGGUGAGGUAACGGCUCACCAAGGCGACGAUCCCUAGCUGGUCUGAGAGGAUGACCAGCCACACUGGAACUGAGAGACGGUCCAGACUCCUACGGGAGGCAGCAGUGGGGAAUAUUGCACAAUGGGCGCAAGCCUGAUGCAGCCAUGCCGCGUGUAUGAAGAAGGCCUUCGGGUUGUAAAGUACUUUCAGCGGGGAGGAAGGUGUUGUGGUUAAUAAC